AUACGUAGGGGGCGAGCGUUGUCCGGAAUGAUUGGGCGUAAAGGGCGCGUAGGCGGCCUGUUAAGUCUGGAGUGAAAGUCCUGUUUUCAAGAUGGGAAUUGCUUUGGAUACUGAUGGGCUUGAGUGCAGGAGAGGUUAUCGGAAUUCCCGGUGUAGCGGUGAAAUGCGUAGAGAUCGGGAGGAACACCAGUGGCGAAGGCGGGUAACUGGACUGCAACUGACGCUGAGGCGCGAAAGUGUGGGGAGCAAACAGGAUUAGAUACCCUGGUAGUCCACACUGUAAACGAUGAAUGCUAGGUGUAGGGGGUAUCGACCCCUUCUGUGCCGCAGUCAACACAAUAAGCAUUCCGCCUGGGGAGUACGGCCGCAAGGUUGAAACUCAAAUGAAUUGACGGGG
rnacentral:rRNA from 1 species